CAAGAUUAGGUAAACUUAGCAUAGAUGAUAGGGUAAUAGAAGGAGUAUGUUUAACAGUCUUAGAACCCUCAACAUUAUAGAUUGACCCAUCAGCUAUAAAAAGGAGAAGGUGCUUUAUAAGAUCGAAAGCUAGUAAAAAUAUGAGGAUUACCUAUCAUGUGAUCCAUGGCACCAGAAUCAAUGACCCAUUUAUAUGAAGAGGAAAUAAGACAAGUUUUACUUGUCUCAACCACUACUAAAGGCAUUGAGAUAAUUUUAACAAUAUGGGUCUUACUGUCAGAAACCAUUUCAACCGAAAUUCUAUACUCCUAUACCUUCAAACGAAUUAAAGAAAGAUACCAAAAUGUGAACAGUAGGCUACUACUGAAGAAACAGGCAUGAACAGUACCAGAAUGGACAUGACAGUACCAGAAUGCGAUCCAAACCAAAAACAAUUCCACCCAAUAUCCAAACGACAAAUGGACCACAGAUCUGACGAGGGGACUUCGAGGUGAGUAAGAAACAAAUAUUACCCUAUACGAGUAACCUAAAAGAACAGGAGCCCUAAGUCUCCAAACAAAACAUAAAAUGAAAAAAUUCAAAUCUCUACGGGAGAGACUCUGAUACCAUGUAAUAAGAUAAGAAAUAAUUGAACAAUUUCAAUGUAUCUUCUCUAUUGAAGUAAGUGUGUAUAUAUAUAGAUUACAAGGUCUUGUUAAGGCAACUCCUGAGAAUUCUCUAUCAAUUAUUUAGCCUAUAAUUAUGUAAUCUCCUAAAAUUAUGUAAUCUCCUAUGAUUAUAUACAUAUUAUAUUCACCCUCUAACAAUAUAUAGAAGAAAAUUUCUAAAUUAUAUUAUAAAAUAUAUAUUUUAUAUUAAAUUAAUUAUUUAUAUAAAUAAAUUUGGAUGAUUGAUACUCAAAAAAUAAAAUUAAGAAAAUAAUAUUCUUCACAAAUAAAAAAAGUAUGAACUUAAAUUAAUUACCAUUACACCGAACAGAAUUUAAAAAAUUAAAAAAUUAAAUCAUUUAUAAAUUAUCUAACCAAUAUUAUGAAAUAAUCAUAUUAAAUGGAAGUAAUUAGUUUUAUAUUAAAUUAAUUACACACAAACCAAGCCUGAAACCGUAAAGGGUCGACAUGUCAUCAAGACAUCGGACAGGUCAGUACAGGUCGACAGGUUGUUAAGACUGGUACAGGUCGACAGAUCGUUAAGACUUCAGACAGGUCGAUGCAGGUCAUUAAGAGGUUGGACUCUCAGGAUGUCGGUAAACAUUGGUUGACAGGUCACUUAUAAUACCCCCUCAAGAUGGAGCAUGAAGGUUCCGAAUGCCCAACUUGCCAAGAAGAAAAUGAAAUUGAUCGUUGCCCAAGGCCUUAGUGAAGAUAUCAGCUGACUGGAUGGAACUACGAACAUUGACCAUGCGAAUGUUGCCACUGAGUAUUUCAUUGCGAAUAAAGUGGCAGUCCACUUCGAUAUGUUUGGUGUGUUCGUGAUAGACAAGAUUGGCUGUAAUGUGCAGAGCAGCUUGACUAUCACAAUAUAAUUGCAUAAGCAUAGUUUAAGACACUCUAAGAGAGAUUAGGAGGCCUUUAAACCAUUUAAGAUCACAGGCACAGUGAUCAUAGACCUAUAUUCAACCUCACAGAGGAGUGAGACACAAUUAGCUACUUCUUAGUCUUCCAAGAAAUGGGAGAGCCACCCAAAAGAACAAGAUAGCCAAUAAGAGACCUGCGGGUCAAAGAGUAAAUAGCCCAGUCAGAGUCACAGUAAGCGGUCAAGGCAAGGUUAAAAUUGGCAAGCAUCAAGAUGCCCUGGCUGGGCUAGCCUUUGAGAUAACGGACUACUCGGAGAGUAGCCUCCCAAUGAAUUUGCAGUGGUCGUUGCAUGAACUGCGCAAGAAUAUGCACAUAGUAGGACAAUUUGGGCUGAGUAAUAGUGAGAUAAAUAAGAUGACUCACCAAGCACCGAUAGGAAGUAGGAGUAGCAAAGGCAGCUUCCUUCGCAAAAGCCAGCUUAUGACUUUGUUCUAGAGGAGUGGCAGUCGGUUUGAAACCCAACAAACCAACAUCAAAAAUUACAUAUAAGGCAUACUUAUGUUGACACAGAAAAAGGCCUUCAGCGGUGCGGGUUACCUCGAGUCCUAAGAAGAAUUUCAGGGUUUCCAAGACUUUCAUGUGGAAACAGCGGCUCAAGUACUCCUUGAAUUUUUGAACAGCAAAAAGAUUAUUGCAUGCGAUAAUGAGAUUAUCAACAUUAAUAAGAACAUUCAAAGGAAGCGAUCCAACAUGAAGAAUGAACAAGGAAUAAUCUGAAUAGAAUUGUUGAAAUUCAUAGGCUCGUAAAAAAGCAGCCAGCUUGACAAACCAACAACGAGGAACUUGACGCAAAUAGUAGAGAGACUUGCAGAGGUGACAGACUUUGCCAGAGGAGGAAGAGCAAAGCCGGGUGGCAUUUUCAUGUAGACUUCUUCUUGCAAGUCACCGUGUAAAAAAUCAUUAUGGACGUCCAUUUGAUAUAAUUCCUAAUUCUUGGUAGCUGCGACUACAAGAAGAGUACGGACCGUACCCAUUUUCAUUGUGGGUGCAAAGGUGUCCUGAUAAUCAAGCCCUUUAACUUAUUUAUUGUCCAAGAUAACCAGUCGUGCCUUGUAUCGUUCAAUACUCCCAUCAGAAUUAUACUUGAUUUUGUAUACCCAUUUGCUGGCAAUUGUGCGCUUCCCAGAAGGUAAAGCUUGACUGUCCAUGUAUCAUUGUCCUCCAAAGCUUGAAUUUUUGUGUGCAUGGCCUCUCUCCAUCGGGCAUCUUGAAAAGCUUUAAUAUAAGAGGUGGGUUCAUGUCCUGCAGUAAUCACUCUCAAGAAACACCUAUGUUGUGUAGAGAAUUUAUCAUAACUCACAUAAUAUGCUAUAGGGUAAGGAGUACCUGAAGAAGAAGCUAAUGGAGAGGAUGAGUACGGCGAAGGGCUUACAUUGAUCGCGUGAGUCACAUAGUCUUUUAAAUGAAUCGAAACCUACUUAGUUCAUUGUCCCCUUCCUAACAGCUCAGAAGCUAUAUCACUCCUUUCGACCUAUUUAUUGCAUCCCCUUUCUGACUGCUCGAGAGCUACAUCACUCCUUCUAACCUCUUUAUUGCAUCCCCUGCCUAACUGCUCGGGAGCUACAUCACUCAUUCUGACUUUCACACUUUUGUCAAAUUGACAUUUGAUCAUGGCUAUAAAUUUCUUAAGAACACAUGUCUCGUCACUUUUCUGAUUGAACAAAAAAAUCUAUAUAGCACGCGAAUAAUCAUCAACUAUGGUCAAGAAAUAACGUGCUCCACAAGAAGCGAGAAUUGUAUAGGGUCCCCAUAAGUCACAGUGUAUCAAAUCAAAACACUGUUGCUUUAUUAUUACUAGAAAAGAAAGCCUUUCUCGUUUGUUUUGCUCGAAAAUAAACUUCACAAGUUUUAUUAGUUUGUCUAUACAAUCUAUCAAUUUCUGAAAUCAAGUCUGUCACCUAAAAUGAUGGAUGUCCCAUUCUAUUAUGCCAAAGCUCAAAGGUCCCUCCACUACUCAGCUUGCAAGCAUGAAUUGAAGCGACUCCUUUGAGAAAGUAAAGCCCCUUUCGUUGCUCACCCACUCCAAUCAAAAUCCUCGAAUUUGGGUCCUGUAUAGCACAUAUUUUGUUAGUGAGUUGAAUAACCAAAUUUGAAUCAUUAAAAAGCUGAGAGACAGAAAUUAGAUUGCAUUUCAAAUUGAGAACAAAAAGAACUCAUCAUAAUUUUAAAUUUCCGCCAAGCAACAUGGUUCCUUCUUUGACUACCAUUGUUUUCUCCCUAUUAGGCAAUCCAACCGAGCAUGGUGCAAUGUCAUGUAAGUCGGUUAGAAAAGCCUUAGUUCCUAUCAUAUGAUAGGAGGCUCCUAUGUCAAUAAUCCAAGGAAAAUUUCUUUAUUUAUCUGUUAACCUCUCAUUAGUAUUCUGAUGAGAGUUUAACAUAUCUAGCAGAGCAGCCCAUUGCUCAUCAUUUAGUCCAUUCAACCCCUUUCAAUCUGCAUCUGUCAUUGCUUUUUGUCCAGUAUCAACUGCAACUGCUUGCGCUGCGUAUGCACGCACAACACCUCCUUUGUUACGUCCUCCUCCAAUCCCACACUUUUGAGUACUACCACGCACACCUAAGUUGCCAUGAGGCCAAGUACCCCACCAUUCUGGAUAGCCUAUUAAUUGAAAAUAACUUUCAGUGUCAUAACCCUUUCAAUUGCAACGAGAGCAAAUAGAAGUUUUAUCUUUAUCCCCUUCUGGAUUCCGAACACUGGCCUGAAUUACAAAACUCAUAGGGUUGUCCCGUUCAACUUUGCUUCUCAUCACGAUUCUCGCUCGCUCUUGCUGAACCACCAUAGCAUAAGUAUGAUUCAAAUUAGGAAAAGGAUCAAUGCUUAAGACAUGAGACUCCAUCAGAAAUUGAUGAACUCUUUCUUCUUUACGCUUUCAUUCCAUUUCAAUGGUAAGAUUGCAUUUGAAGCAUGCACAUGCACACUUCAGUAUUUGAUCAUAGUUAUUAAUCUCAUCCCAUAAGGUUUUGAGUUUACCGAAAUAGAAAAUAAUGGAUUGACCAUCCUGCCUACAGUUUUCUAGGUCAGAUCUCAACUGCUGCAUUCGUGGUCCAUUUCUAAUUGGGAACCUCUACUUAAUAUCUUCCCACAGAUUCUUCAUCUUUUUGGUAGGAGAGAUAGUCGAUGGAAGUGUUGGUUCAAUAGUAUUGAAUACCCAAGAAAUCAAUAUAGAGUUAACUAUCCAACAAUCUUCGAGUUCCAGUGCAUUGUCCUCUGGUUGUUUGAUGGAUCCAUUGAUAAAGCCGUAUUUCAUUUUGGCUCUCAGCGCAGUCCGCAUGGCCCUUGCCCAUUCUUUGUAAUUUUCUCCUUUUAACUUCACUUGGAUAAUCAAAUUGCCUGGGUUGUCAUUGGAAUUUAGUGUAUAAGGAUUGAAAGAGUUUUUCAUUAUUCCUGAAUUCUCCCCGUGUUCCUUUUCAACCUCCAUGUGAAAACGGAGACUCGCACAAUUUAGGAAUGGAAGUUCUUGCCCCCUUUUAUUGACCAUAAUGUGACAAUAUAUACACUAGGUUUACCCCUGUUUAGGAAAAUCCAAGAAUGCAAAACUUCAUAUACAAUACAAGCCAAACUUUUUAUGCUAUACAAACUAAGCUUCCUAUACUGCACAAGACAACGAAGAAAAGAAAAGAUAUUUACAUACAAAUCAAGCCUGAAACCGAGAUGGGUCGAUAGGUCAUCAAGACAUUGGACAAGUCGAUAUAGGUCAACAGGUCGUCAAAACUUCAGACAGGUUAGUGCAGGUCAUUAAGAGGUCGGACCCUCGGGAAGUCUGGUCGAUAUUGGUCGACAGGUUGCUUCCAAUAUGAUAAAAUUAAAUUUGGGAUUGCAAGAGAGGAUUGUCAUUUACAGAGGAAAGUAAGAUUUUUAAAGGAAAUGAAGAUUUAAUUGAGAAUGAAAAUGAUGUUUAGAGAGGAAUCGAUUGCUUGAUAAUCAUGGUUUCAGAGAGAAAGAGGAUUGCCAUGGGAAGUGGAAAUGGAGAUUGAUUAAGAAUGGAGUUAUGUUGUACAUGAGGAGAAAUGUGAAUAGGUGAUUAGUAAAGACGACUAAUAGUAGGGUAUAACAAAAAUAUAUAUUUUGAGUCAAUUUUUCACUAUCGAUAAGUUCGGGACUUCAAUAGACAAAAAAAUUUAUUAGAGGUUUAAGUGAACAAAUAAAAAUUUGU
rnacentral:lncRNA from 1 species